GUACCGCAAACCGACACAGGUAGAUGAGAUGAGUAUUCUAAGGCGCGUGAAAGAACUCUGGUUAAGGAACUCUGCAAACUAGCACCGUAAGUUCGCGAUAAGGUGUGCCGCAGCAAUGCGGUCUCAGCAAAGAGUCCCUCCCGACUGUUUACCAAAAACACAGCACUUUGCCAACUCGUAAGAGGAAGUAUAAGGUGUGACGCCUGCCCGGUGCUCGAAGGUUAAGAGGAUGCGUCAGUCGCAAGAUGAAGCGUUGAAUUGAAGCCCGAGUAAACGGCGGCCGUAACUAUAACGGUCCUAAGGUAGCGAAAUUCCUUGUCGGUUAAAUACCGACCUGCAUGAAUGGCGUAACGAGAUGGGAGCUGUCUCAACCAGAGAUUCAGUGAAAUUGUAGUGGAGGUGAAAAUUCCUCCUACCCGCGGCAAGACGGAGAGACCCCGUGGACCUUUACUACAACUUAGCACUGCUAAUGGGAAUAUCAUGCGCAGGAUAGGUGGGAGGCUUUGAAGUAAGGGCUUUGGC
rnacentral:rRNA from 1 species